CUAACUGCAAAUCUCACACCAUGUCGGCCCGCGGUUCGACAUGGGACGUUUUGUGCUUCAUCAAGAGCUUCUGCACAGUGAGCCUGACAAAGACGGCCGUCAUGCUUUUCUCCCCUGUCAAGCGGUCAGACUAGAUGGGGGGAUGCAGCGACAGCAAUCUUCGCGGAGCGUGUGGAUACAACUACAUCAAUUGGGAAGGUCAUCUAUAAGCAUUGUUAUAGAUGGUCUAAUCAAGCAGAACAUGUGCUAGCAAAAUUUAGUUAUUGUAAUAAGAUUUAUGUAGUUUGGAUGAACGAACCUCCUGACAAAUAGUUUGGAUGAACGAGCCACAUAUGUGUUGGUCAGUAAGAUCAUAAACGAUGUAUCUAUUAUUUCAGAUUAAUAAAGCUAGUCAUGAUGGUA